GUCUAGAUAUGGGAGAUGUGAUGACCGCGGCGCCCUUCCCAUAGAGAGGGGUGACCCCCUGGCGCGUGACUGCCGCUAGGGCAAUACAGAGCGCUGCGGCCCGGGGCGCCGUGUGCAUUUCCGCGGAGACUGCGCAGAGAAGGCAGCGAGUCCGGCUAGACAGCGCCUGGGCGCCGCUUGUUCACGGUGUGUUUUGCUGCAGAUUGUUACGUGUGCUGCUUAUUUAUAACUGCUGUGGGCUGUCGAACAUGCCUUCAACUUCAAAGAAAAAAACUCAGAGGUGGUGCUUCGUGCCAGGGUGCGAUUCCGGAUAUAAAUCUUGUUCGGAAAAAGUGUCCCUUUUCCGUGCGCCGACUUGCCAAGAACUGUUUUUGAAGUGGACGCGUGCCAUUCCAAGGGCCGACAAACCGCUGCAGGAGAAUUCAGCUGUUUGUGCGAAGCACUUUGACACAAGGUAUGUAGUUCUAGCAUUUUAGCGUAUGUAUAGUCGGCCAAAUCUUUAGCUAGCUCACCUAAAUUCUGUUGUUUUUUUACGCUUUCCAGCGCGUUCCGACGGAACGAACUUGCGGAACGGUCUAUGGUAACUCGUGCUUACAAAGCUCGCGAAGAUAGUACAGUCAUUUGUUAGGUGCUGGCGCACAGCAAGUCACCGCUCGCGCACGCUAGUUAGAGAUUUGGGCGGCUAUACCUUACCGCUUUUAAAACACGUGGCACAAGCACAAACAAUGCCCUACAGCUGAAGUACGAGCUUAUGGCGUGUUGCACAUAUUUCAUUUUUAUUCGCAUUCUGAUGACUGGAGUCCUUCCAAGCGCUGAUUCAUACCAUCUUUCAUCUCUCUUGGCAGGUACAUCCAAAGAGAGUUCCGACACACUGUGAACGGCAUUGAGGUCGUAAUACCGCGCGACGUCCCGGUUUUAAGAGACGAUGCAGUGCCGACCCUGUUUCCGAAUCUGCCGAAGUACAUUUCAAAAACGUUGCCAAAGGAAAGAAAGAGGCGGGGAAGUGGUUCACGAAAUUCUGUACCUCCGAAGAAGACGUGCACAGAACUAGAAGCAUCAGCAUGCUCGCAGGAAGAUGGGACAGCAGAUGUGGAGGAAGCGGCCAGAGAUGCACCUACCGAGCACUUUAUUUAUAACUUGCGACACUCAUCAGAACACUGGUGUAUCCAAACAUUCAGGAGCAAAAAUGCAGUUUCCUACCAAACAGCAGAAUAUGUCAGCAGCGAGAUUCCACCUGUUAUUUUUCAGAAAAUUGUUUUGUUCGAACUGCAGGAAGAAAAAGCGCCUGUGAAGUGCAGCAUUUUCCUCUCAGGCUUCUUGCAUUGUCGACGUGACAUUCAGUCGAAAAAAGAAGCGCAGGAAGUACUCUUCUGUACAGCGAAUCUCCGAGUUUGUUGUGGUGUCGGGAAGAUGCAAGAGUUCCAGCAAGUGAACCUGUCCGAUGUCACGAAAUCAAUAGGUCUAAGUCUGCAUGCCAGUUCCUGCGAUGGAUCUGUUUCACAGGGUGUAUCCAUUCAUUCUGCCCAACAGUGCUCUGCUUGCAAGAGAGUAAGAAAAGUUGCAUUGAUGCGCAUGCUACGACUAAAGAAUAAAGCACGUCGGCCACUUCUGCACACUGCAAGAAAAAGACUCAGAUAUGCUGUGCGUACCUUGAGACGCCGAAACAAGGAGGUACAGGUCCUGCGUAGUAACCUUGAAAGGCUCCAAGAAGAAAGUUCUGCAACAGAGGCGACUGUCCUUGAAAAAAAGAUCUGUCAGCUCCCCAAAAAACAGCAGAAUGCUGUGCGAACCUGCUUUGAAGCCUCCAAACGACGGUCCCUCCAUGGGUACAAAUAUUGUAAAGAGUGGCUUUUAGAGUGCAUUAUUCUCAGAAUGAAGAGCUCUCGUUUAUAUGAGCAUUUGAGGUGCCACCAAAUCCUAGCACUCCCCAGUCGUGCUUGCCUACAGAAAUGUAUAAAGGUUUGUGUCGUGUUUCAAUUUAAUGCAGAAGCUACUAAAGUUCUU
rnacentral:lncRNA from 1 species